rnacentral:tRNA from 1 species
GCCGUCUUAGCUCAGUGGCAGAGCGUCGCUCUCGUAAAGCGAAGGUCGGGU